AAGAGUGCAGCUUGGAGGAGAGUGUCUGCUGCUGAUGCAAAAGCAGUCAGGCACGGCUGACCUGCUGGGGCACGGCUCAUGUUCGGAGGCUUGAUCUCAGCAGUGGUUUUAAUGAAGAGAGAGAAUGCGGGGAUUGUAAGGAAUGAAAACAAACUGGCCCAGAAUGCUAAUACUGCUACUUUGGUCUAAUUUCAGGUCAUCAGUACAAGGGUUCCCCUGGCUCACGUCUGUGUCGGAAAGAGGAGUUUCGUGAGCCAAGGCAUCGUUGCCUUCUCUCUUGCCUGCGGUGAACUCCUCAAUGCAAUGAUAAACUACUUGUAUUAAACAACAGAAGAGGAAUUUUGAGGCAAUAAAUAAAUCAUCUCCCUGCA
rnacentral:lncRNA from 1 species